CCUACGGGAGGCAGCAGUGGGGAAUUUUGGACAAUGGGCGAAAGCCUGAUCCAGCCAUGCCGCGUGAGUGAAGAAGGCCUUCGGGUUGUAAAGCUCUUUCAGACGGAAAGAAAUCGCAUCUUCUAAUACAGGGUGUGGAUGACGGUACCGUAAGAAGAAGCACCGGCUAACUACGUGCCAGCAGCCGCGGUAAUACGUAGGGUGCGAGCGUUAAUCGGAAUUACUGGGCGUAAAGCGUGCGCAGGCGGUGAUGUAAGACAGAUGUGAAAUCCCCGGGCUCAACCUGGGAACUGCGUUUGUGACUGCAUCACUCGAGUACGGCAGAGGGAGGUGGAAUUCCGCGUGUAGCAGUGAAAUGCGUAGAUAUGCGGAGGAACACCGAUGGCGAAGGCAGCCUCCUGGGCCAGUACUGACGCUCAUGCACGAAAGCGUGGGGAGCAAACAGGAUUAGAUACCCUGGUAGUCCACGCCCUAAACGAUGUCAACUAGUUGUUCGGUGAGGAGACUCAUUGAGUAACGCAGCUAACGCGUGAAGUUGACCGCCUGGGGAGUACGGCCGCAAGGUUAAAACUCAAAGGAAUUGACGG
rnacentral:rRNA from 1 species